GUUUAUUUCCCCUUAAACCUAAGCAUGUGUUAGGUUUCUUUGGUCUUUGUUACUAAUAUGUCUAAAUUUAUCAUAACGUUUUGGGUUUUAAUUUGCCUAUGACCUGUGUAUGCAUGUGGUAUUUGUGAUUAGCUUUGAAGAACAAUGCAGUGGUCCAGAGAACAAUGCAAUGACGAAAGAUACAGGAACAUAGAGUUAUCAGAGUGGGAGAGGUGGAUCAGAUCAUUCUCAAAAUGUUCCUAAUGAGGAGAUAGGCGUUGGACAUGGAGGGUCUUCUGGUAGAGGUUAUGGGCUUUCGGCUGUUGGAAAUGGUCCAUCUGUCGAAUCUUAUCGCCGUCAGCAUGAAAUUACUAUUAGUGUUACAUAUCCAACAUCUCGUCAACAUGCCACUUGGUCCUUGGAUGACUUGCCAAGAACAGUAGCUUGUACCAUGCAUCAAGGAUCUACUAUCACUAGCAUGGAUUUUCAUCCUUCUCAUCACACAUUGCUUCUUGUUGGUUCUGCCAUUGGUGAAAUAACGCUCUGGGAAAUGGGGAUGCGAAUAAAUUGGUUUCAAAGCCAUUCAAGAUAUGGGACAUGGCAAAUUGUUCUAUGCCGCUUUAGGUUCCUUUUCAUCUCUUUGUGCUGCUUCAUUUUUAUUACUUCCCUUUUCUUAAACCUUGUUGCUUGUUAUCUUAGCAUUCUAUGAUGUGAUAUAUACCUAUGACAUGAGAUAUCUACGUAGGUUGUAAACAGCAUGUAUAAAUUAAUUGUGACCAGAUUAUUUAUUGCUUGAUUUGGGGACAUUUAUAAUACUAAUCUUCAACUAGCUGUUGUCAAAUAUUAUUAUUUAUUUAUUUUUUUUAAAUUCCCAUUUGGAAUGUUGAGAUCAAAGUGAUAAUUUGGAAAAGAAGUCUCCAAUUGAUGCUAACAUGCAGGAACCCUAAUCUUUGUGUGUUGGGCAUUUAUAAUACUAAUCUUCUGUAGGUUAUUGAGUUUGCCCUGGCUUUGCAGGAAGCUGGGUGCUUUUCUAUUGUUCUAAAAUGUGUGUUUGCACCUGUUGCUGCUGCUGCUGCAACAUCUGCUCUUCGAAUCCCUACCAUUGGUAUUGGUGCAAGGACUUUCUGUAGUGGCCAAGUUAAUUGAUUCUUUAGCUUUCUGUAGUACUCCGAAUAAUGAAUUAGACUUGACUGGUUUGUGUUGUGUAUAAUCUUUUUACUUUCAUUUGUACAUAUAA